rnacentral:rRNA from 1 species
GUCUACAGCCAUGCCACCCUGAACAAGCCCCAUCCCGUCUGGCUUGUUAGUAGGGUCGGGCCUGGUUCAUAUUUGGAUGGGAGACCACUGAGGAAGACCAGGUACUGUAGGCA